GGUUAAGCGACUAAGCGUACACGGUGGAUGCCCUGGCAGUCAGAGGCGAUGAAGGGCGUGCUAAUCUGCGAUAAGCGCCGGUAAGGUGAUAUGAACCGUUAUAACCGGCGAUACCCGAAUGGGGAAACCCAGUGUGUUUCGACACACUAUCAUUAACUGAAUCCAUAGGUUAAUGAGGCGAACCGGGGGAACUGAAACAUCUAAGUACCCCGAGGAAAAGAAAUCAACCGAGAUUCCCCCAGUAGCGGCGAGCGAACGGGGAGGAGCCCAGAGCCUGAAUCAGCAURUGUGUUAGUGGAAGCGUCUGGAAAGGCGCGCGAUACAGGGUGACAGCCCCGUACACAAAAGCGCAUGUGCUGUGAGCUCGAUGAGUAGGGCGGGACACGUGGUAUCCUGUCUGAAUAUGGGGGGACCAUCCUCCAAGGCUAAAUACUCCUGACUGACCGAUAGUGAACCAGUACCGUGAGGGAAAGGCGAAAAGAACCCCGGCGAGGGGAGUGAAAAAGAACCUGAAACCGUGUACGUACAAGCAGUGG
rnacentral:rRNA from 1 species